UCAACGCGAAGCACGUCGCGUGGGGCUC
rnacentral:sRNA from 1 species